rnacentral:lncRNA from 1 species
GGGCGAGUGUCCCAAAGCAAAAUGGCCGCCAUGCGCGGACGUUGUUCUCCAUAGGCUAACAGCGGCCGAGUGAGAGCACGCUUACGUUAAUUAACAGACAAAAAGUUAUUAAACUUUAACCUAUUUCGUCUUGAAUUAUUGAUCCCGGGAGGUAUUCGCAACCGUGAGGAGGUUUUUGGCGUACCGGACAUUACCGUGUUGUUUUGUUUUGUUGAGAGAAAACUCCGGUGAGUAGUAACCGUUAGCGCUUAGCAUAGCAUGCUAGCGGCUGCCGACCACAGUUAAUUACUGACUCAUUUCAUGAAUAAUUCAUUAAUAUGUGUCGUUAUGUUACUGAGACAAUAUUUUAAACCAACCGGAGGUAUUUAAGAGUGUAUAUUUAUGUCGAGAAUGUGGUUAAUUUUGUAUUUCUUUGUGGAAACUGCCUGUGCUAAAUCGAGCUAUUGCUAUAAGACUUGUGCUAUUGCUAAAUGUUAGCUAAUGCUAAUCAGUUAAACAAGCUGGUUUUGUGAGCUAAAACACGUACAGCAGUGUGUAUAAGUUAUUGAGAGACAAUAAUCCAAUGAAUCAUUCUCAAACAUGAUUGAUAUGUGAUUUAAUUCAUUUUUUUGUGCGCAAAUUCAUUUUAUAGCUGCAUGUGAUGCAUUGUUAAUGUGAAUGGUCAAGUCCAUUGAUAAAAAAAGAUUAAGAUUAAAAAGAAAAUAACUACUGUACAGUUGAUUUAGAUAAAUGUCUAAAAGAGAUAAAGAGAUUAUUAACAGAUGUAAAACUGCUGCUCUAUGCAGGUUUUUUGGUGUAUGAAGCGAUUCUGAUGGCGAUCCAGACCCCAACCCAGAGGAAGGUGGAGCAGGACACUGGCUUGCAUGAAGGAUGUGACAACGGUAACAGCUCAUCGUGCAUCUGGAGAAAGAACAUCACAUCAUACAGGUAAGACACCAAAUCACACUACCUGGGUAAAUGAACAGUUAUACCACCAUACAAAGACUAACGCAUAAACUGUGAACACUGACUAAAUUGGACAUUUGCCUCUAUUUUUGGACUUUAUUAGACUUGGUUUUGUUUAAUUUGGCCACAUUUUCUCUAUUUCAUUUGCACUUUAAGCAGUAUUUUUUCUAUGCUGUAAACUUGUUAAUGUUGUUUACAACUGAGGUUGUUAAAUGGUAGAUUCUAGGUUGGUUGAGAAAUAUUAAUCCAGUCAUAGCUGGACUAUUUUCUUCGUUACGAUUGAAGAGUGGCUUCUGGCCAAGCAAGAAUAUUGUGGAUGCUCUUAUUUCAAACUGUUGUCCAUGUCACAUCUAUAUCCUUUCUGAGCGAAACUAUAUCUUCUGAUUUUGGCCUAAAUUAAAGUACAUGAUAGUCACCUUAGUUUAUGUACAGUAGACAUCCAUUACACAUGCAGAAAAUACACUAAAUAUGUUGCAUUUGAUUGUCAAAAGUCAGUAGGAUAGUUUUGUUUCAGACAAGCAGACAUUGAUUUGUCUAUUAGGGGUGCCAACACUGACUCAAACCAAAAGUCUCUCACAGAGGCUUUGUUGACGUUUGCAGCUUGGUUAUAGCAAGGUGGAGUUGACUUAGUUAACUGGUAUGUCCUAGCUGUUGUUUGGUCAUUAAUUGGCUUUUUAGGGCUGGUUAUACAGCAACAUGUUCCUAUACAACCAACCAAUCCAGCAUAUUCUGGGUCUACCUCGGAUUCUCUCCUGUUUGACACAUGUUGAGGACUUCCUGUAUCAAAUUCCCAAACUGCCUUAACUGACUCUUUUCAAUUCUAAGGAGCAGCAGCUCUACUCCAAGCUCUCUCUGGAUAUCCAAGCUUCUGACCCCAUCUCUAAGUGAGCCUAGACACCCUUCUGAGGUGCCUCAUUCAGACCACCUGUAUCUGCCUGUAAAUCGAAAGCUUUGCCUCCAUGCAGCUGGAGGUCUUGACUUAAACACUCUUUUACUAUUAAUGGGAAGAUUUCUAAAGUUUGGCAGAUAACAGUUUAAUUCUUGCUCUAAAAUAGAUUCUGUUUUAUAAAAUAAUCUCAUAAAACUAACCAUGUAAGAGAGAAGUAGAGUCUGAAAAACCAGCCUGGUAGAAUUAAGAUCAGUUUUACGGCUGAUAUGAAGUCACUCUAAGCGUUUUUUCUUUGGCGAUUGCAGGUGAAUACAGCUGAGUCGUCUGCAUAAAGAGAUACAUCUCAAUAAGCUGCAGAUUGCUGUUUAAUGAACUGCAGUUUUGCCACCUGUGAAUCUUUUUUCUAACAUCAUGUCUGAGAGUAUGAGGCAGCUGGAUAUCUGUGGGAUCAGAAACACUGCUGGCUUGUGAACCUGUGGGGCUUGCGUGAAUGUAUUCGGCAUGUGAUGGGAUAUGACAGGUCAGUUUCUGUUGCUCUGCUUCCUGCUGCUGCUUGGAGGCAGAGACCACCAUCCCAGGUUGCCACGGCUACCGACCGUCUGGCAUGGCAGGUGAGGGGCUGCGCAUUAAUUUGGCUGUAGACUCGGUCCUCUGUGGUGACUGGAGAUGGAGGUGAUAAUGUGUCCACAGUUACCGCUCAGACAAGGCUGGAUUUACAUCUCAGGCCUGCUGGGACUCUGCGGGACACUCAGGGCCGGUGUCAGGGCCGUUUAACAGCUCUGUUAAUGCUCAAGUUAUGGAUUCCUGCAGGAUUAUCUCGUGAUAUAUGAGGCGAUGCAGAUAACAUCGGCCGUUCACCUCCAUGUGUGACCGCUGAGACGGAUAAUGGGUGAACACAUGAUCAGCAGAGCUUCAUUUAUAGACGAGUCUUUAUUUCAGGAGCCACUGCACACCGAUAACAGCUCUAUUGUGUUCAUCAAGGACACACCUGAACUAAUGUCAUCCUCCAGUGGUUCCACACAUGCAAUGUCAAUUUAACCCCUAAAACUCUUCAAUGUAAAUAAAUCACUGCAUCGCUAUGUUACCAUCUAGCAGAGCCGUUUCAGGCUGUUGGGGUCGUGCAAACGCUUCAGUAUGUUCUAACCUUUUUCCUGUUAUUUCUGGUGUCUCUACUGUAUUCUUCGCUAAAUGCAUCAUGUUGACAUAAUCUGCAAACAUACAUCAUGACCCCGAAGACCUAAGCACGCUGAGUCAUGAUGUUGCAUUUUCUGUGUUUGCUGUUGCAUGGAGGGCUCUAGCUCUCAUUACUAGAAAAUGUAUCUCUAAAAACACGGGGAUCUGUCUUUUCGCAGUAGAAAUAAUAAAUGUUGUAGCUGCUUCUUUGGUUGUAACAUCAAUUGAAGCAGUUUUUGCAAGAGACAAUCUCUUGUGGCUUGUUAGUGGCGAGUUUUAAACCUGCGUAAAUGAAUUAAAUUAUCGUAGUAAUGUUGCUAUGAUAUAAAGGUCUCAGCUUUCUACUGCAGGAAGAAUGACUGCUCUGGCUCACAUGGUUUUUAUUUUAGGACAGGGUCGUGCCAGACAGCCCAUUUGAAAAGUUUUUAAUACAUUGCCCAUAUGCUAAAGAGAAACAGCUUCUUGGGAUAAACACAGAGAGGACUUGGUGCAGAUAUGACAGAUAGACCACAAACUAAGAGAAAUGUUGUUGUUUAUUCAAGUUUUUUCCCCGCUGAAGUGUUUUUCCAUGCUGUGGUUUCCGCGUCGUGUUGGCGCCCUGUUGAACAGAAGUGUUUUUCUUGAGUCAGGCUGGAUCUAAGUCUGAGUCAGCCCUGAAUCAGCAGAGUCAUGGUCCUGUUGUCAGUCACUUCCUGUGCAGACCAGCCCGUCCUCACCGCAUGGCCCCAGGCUGGCACAGGUCUGAGGCCGCCGCCCUGCACCGUGUGUCCAAGCAGCCGUUAUGUAACCCAACCUCCUUCGUCGGGCCGAGCUUUCACCGCAGCAAUCUGCCACCUCUCAGGGUAUCACAGUGAACAGACACAGUCAUUAACGGGAACAGAGAUGGUCAUUAACGCUGUUAGAGAGACACGAGUCGUCUCCGUUUGGUGUACGUGUGUUUCUAAAGCUGCUCAGUCUAAAAUCUGAUUCAUUACUUUAUAUAUUUAAACUCCAGAAAAGAGUCUCUGUACCUGGGGUGAAAACGAAGCUGGACCUCUAAAAGAGCUCAACAGACUCUCAGUGUUUGUGGCUCUGUGACCAAGGAAGAGGAGGAGGAGGAGGAAUGAUGGUGGAAAUGUGGCCUGAACUCAGGGCCAGGAGCAAAGAGACUCUCAGGACAGGACUGAGCCACCGGCCUCCCGCCAGGAAGAAGAAAUCUCCUCCAAAAUAAAAGUGCAUCUGGAAG